CUGAUCAUGAGCUGCAGUAUUCUAAACUGAUAGGGCAUCCAAACUAAGUGUAACAUCAGUAGAGUGAAACACUGGGAGCAGGGGUUGGCUGUCAGGCUGUCUACAGAGGAGCUAAGUGGAUGAACUAUUUUGGAAAAGGAACCAGUCAAAUCUUCUGUAUUAAUCAGCAAUGGAAGGAAUGCUCAUGAGGUACUGCUGCACUUCUAACUUGGGCCAGACAAGGAGAUCAGUCUCAAAAAAUGAAUGAAUGAAUGAACAAAGGCAGAUUUCAGAGCUAGAUAUGAUGGAAAUUUUUAUAACAACUUGAAAUGUCCAAAAGCUACUCCAAAAGUAUUCUCACCACAUUCCCCUGACUUGAUAUGGAGACAAGGAAACAUUAUCCUUAUCAUGGAAAUGGAGAGGCACAGAAAUUGACUUGCUCUGAAUAACUGUUCAGCAGAGGAACUCUCAAAACAAAUCUAUCAAAUCUUCAAACCCCCCCCAAAAAAAAAAAAAA